UGGCGCUGCUUGCUUCACGUUGCUCCUAUAUCCGUGAUUAUCAAACAAACAAACAAACUUCCCUUUCCAACUGAGGGUGUUUUCCUCUUCACCAGGCCGAAACAAAUGUCCGCUCCUCCUGACGAAGAUUUGGUGAAGCAGUGGGAGAGCGAGCAGGCCCGUCUCAGACAGCAGGUGGUGGAGGAUGACACUGAGGACUGGCAGAGGUGUCCAGACUUCUCGGGCCUGGAGAGAGUCGGAGGAGUGGAUCUCUCCUUCAUCAAAGGAGAUGACUUCAAUGCCUGCGCCCAGCUCGUGAUACUCAGCUACCCAGAGCUGGAGAUGCUGUAUGAGGACAGUCAGAUGGUGACCCUGACGGCCCCCUACAUUGCUGGCUUCCUGGCGUUCAGAGAAACCCCAUUCUUCCUGGAAGCUUUGCAGCGGCUGGAGAGGAACCAGCCUAAACUUCUGCCUCAGGUGGUGUUUGUGGAUGGGAAUGGUCUCUUCCACUACAGAGAGUUCGGUCUGGCGUGUCAUCUUGGAGUGCUGUCGGGGCUUCCGUGUGUGGGCGUGGCCAAGAAUCUGCUGCAGGUGCAGGGUGUGUACAAGAAUGAGGAGCACCAGUCACAGAUAGCUGCUCUGCAGAAAGGAGGAGACAGCUUCCCACUCACAGCCGCCUCAGGCAAAGUGCUCGGAAAGGCAUUGCGAAGCUCCGACAAGAGCUCUAAGCCGGUGUAUGUAUCUGUUGGCCACAAGAUCAGCGUGGACACAGCUGUACGCCUCACACACUCCUGCUGUCGCUACAGAGUCCCAGAGCCCAUCAGACAGGCCGACUGUCGCUCCAGAGAAUACCUUCGCACACACUUCCCAGCUACAGAUGCAUGAGUCAAAGACUGAGAUUCACUGUCCUCUCUGGUUGAAAGUUUCCAGCUCGUUGCACCACAUCCAGUGUCACUGCACAAGUUGUGAUGUCAUGGUGUACUGACACACCCUGGUGUACACCUGUACAUCACUGCAGCAAGACAUCUGACCACUCUGGCAGUCUCUCUGUGCCUCCUUAAUAAAAAAAGUACAAUAUAUGAAAAGGUGAACCACACCAGAAUCUUUCAGGUUGUCGCUUGCAAACAGGUUAUAUGUGAGAGAUGACCUCUCUUUCCACCUCAAGCUGUGGUGAGCGCACUGGCGCAAAAUGGCUGCCAUGCAUAACCCAGGUUGCAAAUGAAGCAGUGAAUCUUAAGGACUCUGAAGACCAGCAACUACAGAAGACCCACAAAAAAGUGUUUGUGUGAGCUUUUAAAAGUGCAGCUGUUUUAGUCUGGGCCAAGGCACCGUCAGAUUAACUGUAUCUUUUUAUGAACUCGCCCCAUAUUUAAACUGGAUAUGGGUCAGACUGGCUCUUUUUAUAUACUGUUCUCAUUACAUUUUUGGGUCACUCAGCUUUUCUACACUGGGAGUCUUGUAAAUAAAUCAUAAAUGUCCCUGAUCUGCUUCAAAUUGCUGGUCAUCUCUUAAUAUCUCUGGGUUGUGUGAAUUGUUCUUUAUGUUGAAUUAUAGAGUGAAUUGUUCCCACAUGGGUGCACAUGGGAACAGAACACAAUGUAACACACAGUAUAUACACACAGUCACAGGCCAUAUUGUGUACAAUGUGUCGUCACUGAGUGUCUCUCUUUAGAUGAGUCAGACUUGGCAACGGACACCGCCGUGACGCCCAGUCCCAGCAAGGCAAACAGAAAAGAAGGGCAGGGAGGGAAGGUGGCUGACUCUGUAGGGAUGGUGGCCAGGAAUAGAAAUGGUCAGAUGGGGUAGUAUUGAUCAGCAGGAGGGGUUAGAGGAUCAGCUGGUGCAGACCGUAGACUUGUCCCACUUCAGAGGGAUGUACACAGUGUUGAACACUGGGAAAUACUGUAGAUGCAUUAUGGACAGAUUGUGUGUGUUAUUACACUCCAUAAAACAAUUUGUUGAAACCACA